AUCCUCCUGAAACCACACAGUCUGUCACAAUUGUUAGUGAUGCAUUUUAAGAACCAGUUGCUUUUAGAUCUUUCACUAUGUCUGCCAGACAAAGUAACCUUGCAUAUUUCCACUCUAGGAUGAUGAUGAAGAGACCACAUCUGCUGUGACUGAAUUAGAAAGUGCUGGGAGACCCACAGAGAAUGUAGCUGGGGAUGUAAAUGCAGAUGAGGGUCCAACUACCUCUACAUCUAAUCUUAGCAGUUUGUCUGCAAAGGAGCUGUAUAAGGUCCAUCUAUUAAGGCAAAUUAAAAAAAGUG